GGGAGAGAUUAUGGGGGCUUGGACUGGAGUGGCGUCAGUGGAGGUGGUCAGGUUCUGGGUGUAUUUGAAGCUAGUGCCAGCACGGCUUCUUGAUGGAUUUGAUCUGGGAUGUGAGACCCAUCCAGAGAAAAGAGGUCGUAGAUUACGUUUACGAUGGGAAAAAUGCAAAUACGCUAGUUCAUCUCUGUGGGAUGGGAUCAUGUGGUUUUUCAGAACGUUCUGUGUUAUAACCACAUCAUAGUCCGACUGCGAUGUACCAGUCACCAGCUAGUUCUAGUGUUGGCCUGCCCCGAGCCCUGGGACGUCUUCCGGCUGCUUCCCCUUUUCCGCCCUGAGAGACCAGAGUUGCACACAAAAAAAGGAUGUGCCGGCCGGCCCUUCAGUCCUGGUGUCACAUUAGCUGACAUCAGAAACUGAGCGGCACGAUUGUGAUGUCACCAGUCCCUCCUCAGCCUUGCCUGCGAGGCUGGGGGCUUCUCGAAGACCCUUCCCCUGGUCCAGGUCAUCUUUCCAUCAGGGCAGGGGGGCUUCAAAGAAAAGCAGAAGCAAAGCUUGAUUGCCUAGCUGCAGCCUGCUCGCAGGGCUCUCACUUUUGCUCCUGCAACCCUGAUGAGUGCCAAAGGAAAUGUGGGCUUCUCUGACUUUAGACUACUCCUCCCCCAAGGAAAGCCAGACCCCGGGUCUGCUAGGGAAGAAAGGAGAAGAUGGUUUGGGUCCUGAGACUGAGCAGGCGGAUAGUCUGAGGGACACAUGACCAUCUGACCUCGGAGAGAAGAAGGAAGACCUGGUGAACUCAUUGUCCUCAUUCAGAGAUGUGACCUGUCCUUGUCUUACUCCUUCUUAUACCAGCUCCAGAAGACAUCAGGCUUUUUCCCAUAUCAGGUGUCUUCUCUUAAAAACAUUUUUUUUUAAUCAAGAUAUAAUUCACCUACUGAUGAUGUUUCAUUAUGCAACUCUUGACAAGCCAUCACCACAAUCAAGAUGAACAACUAUUCCACCACCUCGAAUAUUCUCUAGACCCUUUGUUGUCAAUCCCACUUCCUUUAGCCCCAAUUCCCAGUAGCCACUGACCUGCUUUCUGUGACUAUUAGAUUCGCCUCUUCUGGAAUGUUAUAUAAAUGAAUCAUUCUGUUUAUA